UACGUAGGGUGCAAGCGUUAAUCGGAAUUACUGGGCGUAAAGCGUGCGCAGGCGGUUGUGCAAGACCGAUGGUAAAUCCCCGGGCUUAACCUGGGAACUGCAUUGGUGACUGCACGGCUAGAGUGUGUCAGAGGGGGGUAGAAUUCCACGUGUAGCAGUGAAAUGCGUAGAGAUGCGGAGGAACACCGAUGGCGAAGGCAGCCCCCUGGGCUAACACUGACGCUCAGGCACGAAAGCGUGGGGAGCAAACAGG
rnacentral:rRNA from 1 species